CCUACGGGUGGCAGCAGUGGGGAAUAUUGGACAAUGGGGGGAACCCUGAUCCAGCCAUGCCGCGUGUGUGAAGAAGGCCCUCGGGUUGUAAAGCACUUUCAGUGAGGAAGAACGCCUGGUGGUUAAUACCCAUCAGGAAAGACAUCACUCACAGAAGAAGCACCGGCUAACUCCGUGCCAGCAGCCGCGGUAAUACGGAGGGUGCGAGCGUUAAUCGGAAUUACUGGGCGUAAAGCGCGCGUAGGUGGCUUGAUAAGCCGGUUGUGAAAGCCCCGGGCUCAACCUGGGAACGGCAUCCGGAACUGUCAAGCUAGAGUGCAGGAGAGGAAGGUAGAAUUCCCGGUGUAGCGGUGAAAUGCGUAGAGAUCGGGAGGAAUACCAGUGGCGAAGGCGGCCUUCUGGACUGUCACUGACACUGAGGUGCGAAAGCGUGGGUAGCAAACAGGAUUAGAUACCCCUGUAGUC
rnacentral:rRNA from 1 species